AACGAACGCUGGCGGCAGGCCUAACACAUGCAAGUCGAACGCGUCCUUCGGGACGAGUGGCAGACGGGUGAGUAACGCGUGGGAACGUACCCUUUGGUUCGGAACAACUCCGGGAAACUGGAGCUAAUACCGGAUAAGCCCUUCGGGGGAAAGAUUUAUCGCCAGAGGAUCGGCCCGCGUUAGAUUAGCUUGUUGGUGAGGUAAUGUCUCACCAAGGCUGCGAUCUAUAGCUGGUCUGAGAGGAUGAUCAGCCACACUGGGACUGAGACACGGCCCAGACUCUUACGGGAGGCAGCAGUGGGGAAUCUUGGACAAUGGGCGAAAGCCUGAUCCAGCCAUGCCGCGUGAAUGAUGAAGGCCCUAGGGUUGUAAAAUUCUUUCGACGGGGAAGAUAAUGACGGUACCCGUAGAAGAAGCUCCGGCUAACUUCGUGCCAGCAGCCGCCGUAA
rnacentral:rRNA from 1 species